ACAGUGAAUAUAUGAACAGAAUUUCCUCAAGAAAUGGGUAGAGGAAAGGGAGAAGCUGGCAUGGGGAAGAAGGGAACAGCAGAAAAAGCAGGUAAUGUAAAAUGCAUCACAAGGAAUUAUCUCUCAGGGGGAGAAAAAAAGAUUCAGAGUUCAGACAAACAUUCUCCCUAGUCUCUAAGAAGUAACAGAUAACAUGGUCUCUUGAAGGAAAAAGAAAUCUAAGAAGUGAUACAAGAGUUCAAAGAAGAGAUUAUAAAACAACAGACGGAGAUGAAAUGCAAACAGUUGAGCUCAGAAAAGAGACACAGCCAGGGGACCCCGGGCUUCUGUGCAGGGUCACAGAGGGAGGGCCGGGCAUGGUCCAGCGGGAGGAUGCAGCCCCGAGAGGAGAGGGGGCAGCUGAGCCCUGCGAUCCAGGCAGGAGGCCAGGCCUCCGGCCCCAAAAGAGCCCCUGCCUCAGGCUCUGGACGCUGAAGUGCACCCAAGCUAGGGCCUAAGUUCAGGUCUGUUCCCAAGUCAGCCACCAGUGAAGCCCGCCCUUCCCCAAGUCCCUCUCCCACAGGCCCGGAAUCCCGGCCUCCGUGGAACACUGUCUACCCCAUUGGACAAUCACGCCCCAACCGCCAGUGCCACCAGACAGCCGUCUUGACACGUGAAGCUCAGAUGGCCGCAGCAGCAAGAGACACGCUGUUGCUGUCAGCCCUGAAAUGCAGUGUUGUCCCCACGGCUGGAUGAAGCCGCAGGGCUGGGGGCCCAGGGUGCAGGUGUACGACUCCGGAAUCCAGCUCACAGUCGAAGCUGAGAGCUUCUCAAGGCCUCAGGACGCUGGUGUCUCUCUGUCUCUGUCUCUGUCUCUCUCCCCACUCCUCCCAAUGCCGGUGAGAUGAAGCCAUGGCUGCGGCUCUGCCCAAGCACGGAGACCGACAGGUUCAAAGACAGGGCCAUGCCAGACCCCCUGACAGGAAGCUGCCUUCUUCCCCUGAAGUUGAAGGGAGGAAGCCACAAGCCCCCACUCCAAGUCCCUUUCCGACACAGCCACGCGAGUGCUGAGCUGCUGAGGACGUGGCGGGCAGAGCAGGAGGGGAAGGGCCGCAGAGGCACCGGCCCAUCACAAGGCGGCAGCGAGGCAGCAAGACCUGGGGUCAGUCAGAUGCCCACUCUGCCUGUCCUCAGCUUCGGCUCUGCCACACCCUCAGCCCAGCGCGCUCUCUGGAGCUCAGCACCCAAGGCCGGGCCUCGGCCGACUCUUCAGGCGUCUUCCACCUUCCUUUCCCAGGGCUUCUAGGAUCCGGCCAUAAGGAACCAAGCGCCGCGGCCCGCAGCAACCGCUGGCGCUGGCUGCACCCGGCCGGCAGCGCAGAGUCCAGCGCAAGCUUGGAGGAGGUCGGGAAAGGUGUAAAGUGACAGGCUUUACCUGCUCUCCAACCGGCCGACAGCUGUCACCGGAGUCCUCCAGCCUCCUCAGCGCCCGUCCCUGCAGGGCCCCGGCGCACCCCCACCCCAUGCUCAUGGAUAGCCUUAACCUUCACAAGGCACAGCGCGAACCACGCCUGCCACAGCUACCACAGUAAAAGCAACAACAUUCCAGACAGAUCAUAAGGAGUACAUGAAAAAAUAAAAGCAUUAUUAUAAUGGGAGUCAACCAAUAAUAGAAAGAAAAACUCACUGGUGUUAGGUGGGAGGAUUAAACCUGGUAUUUUCUGAACUGACUGAACCCCACAGAGCAUUCCUGGGCUAGCACUAGGAUGAGGGACAGGAACAGCAGCGACAACAGAAGCCCUGAGGUAAAUGAACUUUGGAAGAAAAAAAAUGGACACGACAAAAACUAAACAGAUUUUUUCAACACAGAUUUUUAAUAUGCUGAUGUGUGUUGUGAAUCAUGAUAAGAUAGAUUUGACAUGCCGCGUUCCCACCCUUAGUUCUCCCCAGGGCCUUUCCUUCGGGAAGCUUCUCCUUCAAGUACUGUGGCUCAGAACACACUUUUGGAAAUGCUGAAUUAAUCUCUCUGUCAGAACAGGUGUUUCAAUGGACUGUUUUUAUCCAAAUAAAGACUAGAUUUUCCACGGCUGAGGUUAUUUGGUUUGCCUCUACCCAGCCUGCCAUAAUGAUUUAAAUAUCAACUCUGUCACCCAUCAUUUUAGCUACUUAAUAUGAUCAGUAACCUAAUCAUUUAUAUGAUUUAUAACAUCGUAGGACAAAAACAAGCAUAGCUAUUUCCAUCCCUGAAUGAAAUGAAGAGCAGAGCAUCCGUGCUUAAGGAGAAAACAGGUGUCAGGCAGCCAAUGUUUUCAGCAUCACGCUCACAAUAAAGCCAAUGAUGAGUCUCCUAGGCAUAUUUCUAGCCAGGUCCCUGAGUGGCAGCCAAUGACAUCACACCAAACAUACUUGAUGAAAUGAGUCUCCAAGGAGGAAAGCGAUUCUCAUCAGAGGAAGCUCGCUGAAUGCCCACCUUUACUUGAUUAUGAACAUUAGCACCCAAAGGACUGAUGGAUUGAAUAGCUUUCAGGUAAUCUACUAAAAAUAUUGUUUCUCUCAACCUACCUUUGAUGGGGAUUAAGCAGUGGCAAGCUCAAAGUUUUACGGCUACACUAGUGCCUGGGGUAUAGCCAGCAGUACUUACACCGCUGGGUGCCGAUAGAGCCCAGUGCUGCAAAGGCAGCGUACACAGAGAUACACCCUGCAUUUGCCGGCAGUAAUCAGGAGCCAGCACAGCCAUGCCCUUGAGGCCAAACCCUCAUGGAGAAGUGUGGAGCUACAUACUUCCAAGGGAUUGCUUCUCCUGCCCAUGUGAGAUAGCAAGUUCAGUGUAGAUUAUACACCAACUUCUCACAGUGUUUCCAAAGGUCUCUGGUUUAAAAUGGCAGAUGACACAUUCUCCCCCAACUUCUAACUAAAAUAUUUACAAAGGCACAGAAAUGAUGAAAAAAUAGGGGAAAAAAGGAUAAAGACAUUACUGACAGUCAUCCUAUUGUCAAUAUUGCACAUUUCCCUUGAAAAUAUGGGGGAUGGAUAUGGGUUGAGAAAUAAAAUCAUUGGGUGAUGACCUGUGCUUUUCGACAAAAGACAGGGCAGUCUCACCACUCUGAAGCCCCACAGGAGGACAGUCUAACACCACUCAUUCCCUCUUUACUUGUUCUCCAGAUUGGAGGCCCAGGGUUUGUACCAAAUUGAAUAGUGCACAGCACUUCCUCUACUGUGUGCUUUCUGUCCUGAGACAGCCAUUUUCUCUACCUCCGCAAACAUGGGACAGCAACAGCCACCACAUGUGCUCUGCAGAAUCUAUCAGACUUCCAAGAUGUACUCCAGAGACCUUUGACCUUUGUCUAUGCCCAUCUCAAGGACCUACAGAGCCAUCAAAGGGUCUGGAAAGCCAUUCAGUAAACAAUCCUGUUGUGGUUUUGUUUGAUUCAAUAUGUCUUAAAUGCAAUUGACUACAUGGCAUUUUUAUUUUUACUUAACAUCUAUAUACAUCCUAAAGAACUAGUGUUCCCUGAAACAUAUUUUCAGAAAAAUGCUAUAAAUCCAUUUAGAGAAAACAAUUUCCAGGAAACUGUAAGACAGGAAUGGGAGGAGAAAGGAACAGGCAAUGGCUCAUUGAAUCCUGGGAAAUGCAAUCCCCACCAGCAAAGCGCAUUUGGCUGAGACAGACUUAGAAAGAAUCUCACCAUCUUACAACAGGGCUUGCAGUUGCUGGCAGAGUAAUCCAGAGAAAGUGACCAUGGAUAGAACAAUGAACAGUGUGGUAAACAACAGCUUCAAUAUAAUUCAGAGAACAUGUUUUGUAUGGAACUGUUACAAUGAACUAAAACACAAAGCAGGCUAAAAUGGAGAGUUGUGGGAAAAAGCAGAAAAAUAACAAGUGACCUUAAAAGGGGAGUUGGUAAAUUAAGGAAGGAAGGCUUGCAAAUAAAACCAAACUUCCAAUCCCAGCAGUAAAGUCCACAUUGGAAUUGACAAAGAGAAGAGAGGAUGGGUGAUUGGAGGCCUCCUCUCCCCAACAAUUUGAAAGGUAUGAUCACAGGCAGCAAGGACCAGGACUGAAGUAAAAGAAAUGGAGGGAGCAUAAAAUGCAGAUCAAAGCCAGAAUUAUGGAAGAUUCUGGGAAAACAAAUGCACAAACCAGAAAAUUCACAACAACUUUGACAGGACCAAACAAGAUUCAAGUGAAGAAAUAUUUUUUUAAUUUUAAAAGAAUCAACUGUAAACCAAAGGGACAUACCAAUGCUCCAAACCAAAUGUUAAAAAUAAAUCUAAACAUAUUCUGGUAAAAAUAUUGGAAUUUAACAAAGAAUACAUAAUGUAACCAAUGUGUAUGCAGAAAAAAAAUGGUGUUGGCUAAAAAUCUGCUUGAUAAUCUGCUGGAUCCCAGGGUUUCCCUUUUCACACUACAAACAGAAAAAAGAAAGAGUAAAUGUCUCCAGCUUAGGUGAUGACACAAAAAGCACAUUCUAGAUUAAGAAGGACAUUGCAUAGACUCAGGAAUUAAUAAAAAGUGACAAACUUAGAAAAAUAGGAUUAAAUACAUAAUGGAGCCACCCAAAACAGAGAAUGGAAUUAAGAAAUCUAGAUGGACAGACCACAGUAGGAAAGCAAUGGCACCAAAUAGUGGGAUAAUUUAAGCACACAGUUAAUGUUUUAACUCAAAUUUUUGAUUUCUGAUAAUUGACUGCCAAUCUGCCACUUUUUGCUUAAAAGUACAUAGAAUAUCAAGAAGCAAUGCUAACUACCCUCAUUUGCAACACGGGAAUGCAGGGCACAAGACAGUAACAGAAGCAGAAGGCACCACUGAACCAAGGACGGGGAGGAAGGAAACAGACAAGUGGUUUGUGGGGGAGGGCAUGAAGCAAGGAGGAGGAGAAAGGAGAAAGAGGAAACCCUGGAGAUAAACCUUCAGAGACUUCAUGAAAGAUAAAUGGUCUUGGAUAGAAAUUGCCAAAGGAUAAACUAUAUGGAAAUAAGAAAAUGUAAGCAUUGAUAUCAUAGUGAAAUUUAAGAAUAUCCAAGACAAAGGAAGAGUCCUAAAAGCUUCCAGACAGAAAGAGCAAAUAACUUUUCAGGACAAGUUGACAUCAGACUUCUCAACAGCAACAUUAGGUUCAGUAAAACAAUGGGAUCAUGUAUUUUAAAGCAUUUUAAGUGAAGGAACAUUAAACCCAGAGUUUUAUAUCCAGCCAAAUUGCCUUUCAAAUGUCGUAAAAAUAUUUUCAGACAUAACAAGACUUCAUUAGAUUUGUCUCAUAAAGACCCAUUUCAGAAAUACUUUGUAAGAAAGUAGUCAAAUGAGAAAAGAAGCAAACCUAGCAGAUUAGAAGACACAUGAAGUACAGGAGAUAAAAUAUCUUGAAAGUUUGCUUUUGUCUUUUAAAAGACCAAAAGCACCCUUAAACAGGGAAGAAAAAGUAUAUUCAAAGCAAACCAAAAUGAAAAUUAUAUAUAAUAACCAGAUGAUGUGGGGAACACUAAUGGUAUGAAGCUGCUAAAUUUCUUAUCAUUUGAAAAAGGCAAAACAAAUUAAAAAUAGAAAAAGUUAGAUAAUUUAAAUCAGCACUUCAAAUGAUAGAAAAAUUCAAAUUUUUAAUAAUAAAUAUUACCUCCAAUUUAAAGGCAAUGAUUGGGAAAAAUAUCUGCCAUAUGUUGUUUUCAAAUUGUGCUAUAAGGACACAGAAAUUUUCAAAAUAAAAAAGAUAAGAAAGAUAAUAUCAAAGCAAUACUAAUAAAAAGAAAAACUAAGUCAGUAUCAGACAAGACGGACAUCAGUAUAGAGGAUAUGUACCCAGUACUGGGGUUGUUGAAUCAUAUGGUAGUUCUAUUUUUAAUUUUUUAGAAGCCUCUAUACUUUUAUCCAUAGCAGCUGUACUAAUUUACAUUCCCACCAAAAGCGUAUACAAAUUCCCCUUUCUCCACAUCCUUGCUGGCAUUUGGAACUCUUGUUUGUUGGUAAAGCCAUUCUAACUAAAAUGAGCUGCUGUCUAAUUGUGGGUUAGAUUUGCAUUUCCUUCAUAACUAGUGACAUUGCACAUUUUUCUAAUAUACAGGUUGGCCUUUUGUAUGUCUCCUUUUGAGAAAUAUCUAUUCAGAUCUUUUGCCCAUUUUUAAAUCAGAUUAUUUAGGGUUUUUUUUU